GGGGGCAUGGUUUAAUGGUAAAAUAUUCCUCUCCAAAAGGAAUGAUCAGGGUUCGAUUCCUUGUGCCCCCG
rnacentral:tRNA from 1 species